UGGUAUUGCUGAUCGGAUGAGCAAAGAAAUCACAGCCCUCGCUCCGAGCAGCAUGAAGAUCAAGGUUGUUGCUCCUCCAGAAAGGAAGUACAGUGUUUGGAUUGGAGGUUCCAUCCUAGCAUCCCUCAGUACCUUCCAACAGAUGUGGAUAACAAAGGCUGAAUAUGACGAGUCGGGUCCAGCUAUAGUUCACAGGAAAUGCUUCUGAAGAAGAGUUCCAAUACUAAAUCAACAAUUUUCUUUUACGUCCAUCUUGUGUCAUAUGUUAAGAGUAAAGUUUGGUUAGUUCUUGAUUUUGAAGAUUUGUUUAUAUUGUCAAAAGAGAGAUUGGUAAGCUGGAUUCUUGAAGUUGUAAGUUUGAA
rnacentral:misc_RNA from 1 species